rnacentral:tRNA from 1 species
CCGUGCGCAUCGCGGACGCCGCCGCCGUACGCCUGCUGAGACCGGGCGACAGGGUGGAUGUGAUCGCGUCCCAGGAGGGCUCCGCUCCCCCGCGGACCGUC